rfam:Gossypium arboreum cultivar AKA8401 contig_15100_1, whole genome shotgun sequence.
AGUCCACGGUAUGGGCACUUCUUGGGCAUUGACUUGAAGCGUUCCCAUGCCUCGUACAGGGAUUCACCUUCAUAUUGUUUAAAGUCGGCGAUUUCUCGUCUAAGCU